AUGCUAGACACCCCGUGCUUCAGCCCAGAGAGGUGGUCCUCACUGUGCUCGGCGUCCUCCGUCCCCGGGUCAGUACACAGAGGUGUCCCCACUGUGGUCGGCGUCCUCCGUCCCCGGGUCAGUACACAGAGGUGUCCCCACUGUGGUCGGCGUCCUCCGUCCCCGGGUCAGUACACAGAGGGGUCCCCACUGUGGUCGGCGUCCUCAGUCCCCGGGUCAGUACACAGAGGUGUCCACACUGUGGUCGGCGUCCUCAGUCCCCGGGUCAGCACACGGGGCGUCCUCACUGUGGUCACCGUCCUCCAUCCCCCGGGGUCAGCACACCGGAUGUCCUCACUGUGCUCGGCGUCCUCCGUCCCCGGGUCAGUACACAGAGGUGUCCCCACUGUGGUCGGCGUCCUCAGUCCCCGGGUCAGCACACGGGGUGUCCUCACUGUGGUCGGCGUCCUCCGUCCCCGGGUCAGUACACAGAGGUGUCCUCACUGUGGUCGGCGUCCUCCGUCCCCGGGUCAGUACACAGAGGUGUCCUCACUGUGGUCAGCGUCCUCCAUCCCCCGGGGUCAGCACACCGGAUGUCCUCACUGUGGUCGGCGUCCUCCGUCCCCGGGUCAGCAUACAGGAUGUCCCUGCUGUGGUUGGGGACCUCCGUCCCCCAGGUCGGCACACGGGGUGUCCCCGCUGUGGUGGGCGUCCUCUGUCCCCGGGUCAGCAUACAAGAUGUCCCCAGUGUGGUCGGGGACCUCCGUCCCCCGGGUCAGCAUACAGGGUGUCCCAGGUGUGGUCGGCGUCCUCUGUCCCCAGGUCGGCACUCAGGGUGUCCCCACUGUGGUCGGCGUCCUCCAUCCCUGGGUUGGCACACAGCGGUGUCCUCACUGUGGUCCGCGUUCUCCGUCCCCCGGGUCAACACAUGGAGGUAUCCCCCCCCCAGGGCCCGUGGUCUGCGGGAGCUGCAAGUGGCGCCCCCAGGGCGGAGCGUCGUGCUGUCCGGGCUCCGUCUCCGCGUCCGGGCGGGCAGGUCGGUCAUCAGGGAGCGGGCCGUGGGGCCGUGGGGUCCAAGGCAGCGGCAGGCCCCGCCCUCGGCCUGGGCAUCAGGUGUGCAGGAGUCGGACGGUCGGCGGCGUUGUCCGCGGGACCGAGGCUGGGCGCGGACAGGCAGGCUCUGGCCGGUGGGUGCGCGCCGCGGGCUCCUCCGCAGCGGUUCCGAGACGGACAGAAGCACCGGGUAGGCUCCGGGGUGCGGGAAGCGACACGGCGUCGACGUCGGCUCCUGAGCCGCUCCGCCGGGACACGUGGCAGCGACGCAUGCGCCUGCCGCCCGCCGUUUCCGCUCUUGGGGCCCGCGCCCAGGGGUGA
rnacentral:lncRNA from 1 species